rnacentral:rRNA from 1 species
AGCGAACGCUAGCGGCGGGCCUAACACAUGCAAGUCGAGCGGGGAGCAAUCCCAGCGGCGAACGGGUGAGUAACACGUGGGUAAUGUGCCUUCUGGUGGGGAAUAACCUUGGGAAACCAGGGCUAAUACCGCAUAUCGUGCUUCGGCAUGAAAGCCUUCGGGCGCCAGUAGAGCAGCCUGCGUCCCAUUAUUUAGUCCUAGUUGGUAGGGUAAUGGCCUACCAAGGGUACGAUGGGUAGCUGGUCUGAGAGGAUGAUCAGCCACACUGGAACUGAGACACGGUCCAGACUCCUACGGGAGGCAGCAGUGGGGGAAUAUUGCGCAAAUGGGGGGAAACCCUGACGCAGCCACGCCGCGUGAGUGAUGAAGGCCUCGGUG